GAUUAGGGGGCUCAGUCAGGUGAGCGUGGCGCUAACAACGCCAAGGUCGUGGGUUCAGUUCCUGUUCUGUCCC
rnacentral:tRNA from 1 species